rnacentral:misc_RNA from 1 species
AAAAAAAAAAAAAAAAACUCGUUAAGUAGAAGAUAUUCUAUUUCCCAAAAAGAGAAAUUUACAUCACUUCUGUAGUCCAAGAAAACAAUACAUUGCAGCCAUUGGUCUAAAAUCCUAUCAAAAGAAUCCAAAAUUACCAAAACUUGCACAAUGCCACAGUGGUUUAAACGGUGGUGUCAAGUGAACGAGACAUACUCCACAGUAUCUCAAAGAGUUCUUAGAAUGACUUGACUGAAGAAAAUUUUCUUGAAGUCCUACUUAUAUAAGAACCAAAUGACCUAAGAAAGAACUACCACUGACACUUGUUUACAUACAAUUAUCUCUUCAUCAAUUGGAGUUCAUACAUCUAGUUUAAGGCUUUCAAAUCUGUAAUUCCUUAAGAACCAUGUUAAUUUGUUGCUAGAUUAUAAUGUAUGUAUCAAUGGAAGAGGCUUUUAUUCAUGCAGCUAUAUUGGGGAGUUUCUAUUACUUAUUGAACCAUAUUAGGGAUGUCCUUUGAUCUUAGUGGCAUGUAAUCCAGUGGGUAGCAUGUGAAAAUUCGGCGAGGUUGUUGCACCUUUGUUAGUUGUUACAAUUACAGCAAUAGCAUGACUCCAUUGAACUGUGAAUAAUUGGUUGGACUAUGAUUAUAUCCCUAUUGUGCGCAAGUGAUUCUCACAUUUUCUUUUCUUCUUAUAUCAGGCUGCUGACUAUAAUGUGGCAGC